GUGCUUGCUUCGGCAGCACAUAUACUAAAAUUGGAACGAUACAGAGAAGAUUAGCAUGACCCCUGCGCAAGGAUGACACGCAAAUUCGUAAUAGAAGUAUAAUGAUGUA